rnacentral:rRNA from 1 species
UGCAGUCGAGCGGUAACAGAUCUAGCUUGCUAGAUGCUGACGAGCGGCGGACGGGUGAGUAAUGCAUAGGAAUCUGCCCGGUAGUGGGGGAUAACCUGGGGAAACCCAGGCUAAUACCGCAUACGUCCUACGGGAGAAAGGGGGCUCCGGCUCCCGCUAUUGGAUGAGCCUAUGUCGGAUUAGCUAGUUGGUGAGGUAAUGGCUCACCAAGGCAACGAUCCGUAGCUGGUCUGAGAGGAUGAUCAGCCACAUCGGGACUGAGACACGGCCCGAACUCCUACGGGAGGCAGCAGUGGGGAAUAUUGGACAAUGGGGGCAACCCUGAUCCAGCCAUGCCGCGUGUGUGAAGAAGGCCCUCGGGUUGUAAAGCACUUUCAGCGAGGAAGAACGCCUAGUGGUUAAUACCCAUUAGGAAAGACAUCACUCGCAGAAGAAGCACCGGCUAACUCCGUGCCAGCAGCCGCGGUAAUACGGAGGGUGCAAGCGUUAAUCGGAAUUACUGGGCGUAAAGCGCGCGUAGGUGGCUUGAUAAGCCGGUUGUGAAAGCCCCGGGCUCAACCUGGGAACGGCAUCCGGAACUGUCAGGCUAGAGUGCAGGAGAGGAAGGUAGAAUUCCCGGUGUAGCGGUGAAAUGCGUAGAGAUCGGGAGGAAUACCAGUGGCGAAGGCGGCCUUCUGGACUGACACUGACACUGAGGUGCGAAAGCGUGGGUAGCAAACAGGAUUAGAUACCCUGGUAGUCCACGCCGUAAACGAUGUCCUGGGAACGGCAUCCGGAACUGUCAGGCUAGAGUGCAGGAGAGGAAGGUAGAAUUCCCGGUGUAGCGGUGAAAUGCGUAGAGAUCGGGAGGAAUACCAGUGGCGAAGGCGGCCUUCUGGACUGACACUGACACUGAGGUGCGAAAGCGUGGGUAGCAAACAGGAUUAGAUACCCUGGUAGUCCACGCCGUAAACGAUGUCGACCAGCCGUUGGGUGCCUAGAGCACUUUGUGGCGAAGUUAACGCGAUAAGUCGACCGCCUGGGGAGUACGGCCGCAAGGUUAAAACUCAAAUGAAUUGACGGGGGCCCGCACAAGCGGUGGAGCAUGUGGUUUAAUUCGAUGCAACGCGAAGAACCUUACCUACCCUUGACAUCUACAGAAGCCGGAAGAGAUUCUGGUGUGCCUUCGGGAACUGUAAGACAGGUGCUGCAUGGCUGUCGUCAGCUCGUGUUGUGAAAUGUUGGGUUAAGUCCCGUAACGAGCGCAACCCUUGUCCUUAUUUGCCAGCGAGUAAUGUCGGGAACUCUAAGGAGACUGCCGGUGACAAACCGGAGGAAGGUGGGGACGACGUCAAGUCAUCAUGGCCCUUACGGGUAGGGCUACACACGUGCUACAAUGGCCGGUACAAAGGGCUGCGAGCUCGCGAGAGUCAGCGAAUCCCUUAAAGCCGGUCUCAGUCCGG